CGGCUGCGUUGACACAGUCCAGGCUGCUAAUUGACACGUGAACUGCACCGGUGCAGUUUAGACUGCAUCGGCUGCUUGGCACAGUACAGGAGGCUGCGCCACUUAGUCCAGGGGGCGUCGACUCAGUGCAGAGGGCGUUGACGCAGCAAAAGCCCGCCGCACAGUGUUUAUAAGGAAGUCGUUUGGCGACACAAAGCCACCUGCCGAAACAAGCCAGACCUCACUCACGCUCGCUUGUCGAAGUUCGUGUCAGUGCAGACUUCGUGUUCGUGCCUUGCCGAUUAUGGAGCAGAGACGCAAAUCAUCCGCCGUGUGGGACCAUUUUGAUGUCCUGGAGAAUAAGGUGAAAUGUCGAAUUUGCCAAGUCGAAUUGUCAUACACCAACAGAAGCACCUCCACUAUGCUGAGGCAUUAUCGGGCCAAGCAUGAGAAUGAAGUUCGCGAUACACCCAGUAUUACGCCAGGUUCCAGGAAGCAGCUGUACUGGAAGGACCAACACACUUCUUUCCCAAACCUCUCCCACCUCGCAAAGGAGUUCCUUUGUACGCCAGCCUCAUCCGUCCC